GAGGAAUAUUGGUCAAUGGGCGCGAGCCUGAACCAGCCAAGUAGCGUGCAGGAUGACGGCCCUAUGGGUUGUAAACUGCUUUUGUAUGGGGAUAAAGUCAAUCACGUGUGAUUGUUUGCAGGUACCAUACGAAUAAGGACCGGCUAAUUCCGUGCCAGCAGCCGCGGUAAUACGGAAGGUCCGGGCGUUAUCCGGAUUUAUUGGGUUUAAAGGGAGCGUAGGCCGGAGAUUAAGUGUGUUGUGAAAUGUAGACGCUCAACGUCUGACUUGCAGCGCAUACUGGUUUUCUUGAGUACGCACAACGUUGGCGGAAUUCGUCGUGUAGCGGUGAAAUGCUUAGAUAUGACGAAGAACUCCGAUUGCGAAGGCAGCUGACGGGAGCGCAACUGACGCUUAAGCUCGAAGGUGCGGGUAUCGAACAGGAUUAGAUACCCUGGUAGUCCGCACAGUAAACGAUGGAUGCCCGCUGUUGGUACCUGGUAUCAGCGGCUAAGCGAAAGCAUUAAGCAUCCCACCUGGGAGUACGCCGGCAACGGUG
rnacentral:rRNA from 1 species